GUCUUAAUAAUUUAAUAAAAAUAUUGGUCUUGUAAACCAAAAAUAAGUUAACAAACUUUUAAAACU
rnacentral:tRNA from 1 species